GUCAAGGUGGUGGAGUGGUUAACACGUUCGCCUGCUAUUGCUAUAUUUAGCAAAAUCAGCGGAUGCCUUCUGGGCGCGCAGGUUCGAAUCCUGUCCUUGACG